rnacentral:rRNA from 1 species
AUUGAACGCUGGCGGCAUGCCUUACACAUGCAAGUCGAACGGUAACAGGUCUUCGGAUGCUGACGAGUGGCGAACGGGUGAGUAAUACAUCGGAACGUGCCCGAUCGUGGGGGAUAACGAGGCGAAAGCUUUGCUAAUACCGCAUACGAUCUACGGAUGAAAGCGGGGGAUCUUCGGACCUCGCGCGGACGGAGCGGCCGAUGGCAGAUUAGGUAGUUGGUGGGAUAAAAGCUUACCAAGCCGACGAUCUGUAGCUGGUCUGAGAGGAUGAUCAGCCACACUGGGACUGAGACACGGCCCAGACUCCUACGGGAGGCAGCAGUGGGGACUUUUGGACAAUGGGCGAAAGCCUGAUCCAGCCAUGCCGCGUGCAGGAUGAAGGCCUUUGGGUUGUAAACUGCUUUUGUACGGAACGAAAAGCCUCUUUCUAAUAAAGAGGGGUCAUGACGGUACCGUAAGAAUAAGCACCGGCUAACUACGU